UUUCCCUCCACGAUGCUGUUCCUUCUCUCCAUCACUCGCCUGUGUCAGAAACCCGGGGUCAUUCUCAACAGCCUUCCGCUCCUAAGCCCUCCACCUCUAAUUGGGCCUGAACCUUGGCUGCUCUUUCUCCAAACCUUCUCUUUCUGUUUCCAUUACCAGUGCCCUGUCUCAGAGGUGAGUCCACUUGGCACACCGCAGUG